AGUGAACGCCGGCGGUAGGCCUAACACAUGCAAGUCGAACGGCAGCACAGUAAGAGCUUGCUCUUACGGGUGGCGAGUGGCGGACGGGUGAGGAAUACAUCGGAAUCUACUUUUUCGUGGGGGAUAACGUAGAGAAACUUACGCUAAUACCGCAUACGACCUACGGGUGAAGGCAGGGGAUCUUCGGACCUUGCGCGAUUGAAUGAGCCGAUGUCGGAUUAGCUAGUUGGCGGGGUAAAGGCCCACCAAGGCGACGAUCCGUAGCUGGUCUGAGAGGAUGAUCAGCCACACUGUAACUGAGACACGGUCCAGACUCCUACGGGAGGCAGCAGUGGGGAAUAUUGGACAAUGGGCGCAAGCCUGAUCCAGCCAUACCGCGUGGGUGAAGAAGGCCUUCGGGUUGUAAAGCCCUUUUGUUGGGAAAGAAAAGCAGCAGGUUAAUACCCCGCUGUUCUGACGGUACCCAAAGAAUAAGCACCGGCUAACUUCGUG
rnacentral:rRNA from 1 species